rnacentral:rRNA from 1 species
ACGGGGUGCAGCAGGCGCUUAAAACUCCACAAUGCACUCACGUGCGAUGGGGCUAUCUCGAGUGCCACCUGAUGAAGGUGGCUUUUCCUAUGUCUUCAAAGCCUUGGGAAUAAGAGGGGGGCAAGACUGGUGUCAGCCGCCGCGGUAACACCAGCCCCUCGAGUGGUGGGGAUGAUUAUUUGGCCUAAAGCGUCCGUAGCCGGCCGUGUAAGUCUUCCGUUAAAUCCAGCGUCUCAAGCGUUGGACUGCGGGAGAUACUGUACGGCUAGAGAGUGGGAGUGGUCAGUGGUAUUCUGGGGGUAGGGGCGAAAUCCUUUGAUCCCCGGAGGACCACCAGUGGCGAAGGCUGCUGACUAGAACACGUCUGACGGUCAGGGACGAAAGCUGGGGUAGCGAACCGGAUUAGAUACCCGGGUAGUCCCAGCCGUAAACGAUGCAUGCUAGGUGUUGGGUUGGCCACGAGCCACCCCAGUGCCGCAGGGAAGCCGUUAAGCAUGCCGCCUGGGAAGUACGAUCGCAAGAUUGAAACUUAAAGGAAUUGGCGGGGGAGCAC